rnacentral:rRNA from 1 species
GAGUUUGAUCUUGGCUCAGGACGAACGCUGGCGGCACGCUUAACACAUGCAAGUCGAACGUGAAGCUCGGAGCUUGCUCCGGGUGGAAAGUGGCGAACGGGUGAGUAACACGUGAGGAACCUGCCCCGAAGACUGGGAUAACGCCGGGAAACCGACGCUAAUACUGGAUGCCCUCACCGGACCGCAUGAUCUGGUGAGGAAAUGGAUUCCGCUUCGGGAUGGCCUCGCGGCCUAUCAGCUUGUUGGUGGGGUAACGGCCUACCAAGGCAACGACGGGUAGCUGGUCUGAGAGGAUGUCCAGCCACACUGGGACUGAGACACGGCCCAGACUCCUACGGGAGGCAGCAGUGGGGAAUCUUGCGCAAUGGGCGAAAGCCUGACGCAGCGAUGCCGCGUGCGGGAUGAAGGCCUUCGGUUG